rnacentral:rRNA from 1 species
GAUGAACGCUGGCGGCGUGCCUAAUACAUGCAAGUCGAGCGAACGGACGAGAAGCUUGCUUCUCUGAUGUUAGCGGCGGACGGGUGAGUAACACGUGGAUAACCUACCUAUAAGACUGGGAUAACUUCGGGAAACCGGAGCUAAUACCGGAUAAUAUUUUGAACCGCAUGGUUCAAAAGUGAAAGACGGUCUUGCUGUCACUUAUAGAUGGAUCCGCGCUGCAUUAGCUAGUUGGUAAGGUAACGGCUUACCAAGGCAACGAUGCAUAGCCGACCUGAGAGGGUGAUCGGCCACACUGGAACUGAGACACGGUCCAGACUCCUACGGGAGGCAGCAGUAGGGAAUCUUCCGCAAUGGGCGAAAGCCUGACGGAGCAACGCCGCGUGAGUGAUGAAGGUCUUCGGAUCGUAAAACUCUGUUAUUAGGGAAGAACAUAUGUGUAAGUAACUGUGCACAUCUUGACGGUACCUAAUCAGAAAGCCACGGCUAACUACGUGCCAGCAGCCGCGGUAAUACGUAGGUGGCAAGCGUUAUCCGGAAUUAUUGGGCGUAAAGCGCGCGUAGGCGGUUUUUUAAGUCUGAUGUGAAAGCCCACGGCUCAACCGUGGAGGGUCAUUGGAAACUGGAAAACUUGAGUGCAGAAGAGGAAAGUGGAAUUCCAUGUGUAGCGGUGAAAUGCGCAGAGAUGUGGAGGAACACCAGUGGCGAAGGCGACUUUCUGGUCUGUAACUGACGCUGAUGUGCGAAAGCGUGGGGAUCAAACAGGAUUAGAUACCCUGGUAGUCCACGCCGUAAACGAUGAGUGCUAAGUGUUAGGGGGUUUCCGCCCCUUAGUGCUGCAGCUAACGCAUUAAGCACUCCGCCUGGGGAGUACGACCGCAAGGUUGAAACUCAAAGGAAUUGACGGGGGCCCGCACAAGCGGUGGAGCAUGUGGUUUAAUUCGAAGCAACGCGAAGAACCUUACCGAAUCUUGACAUCCUUUGACAACUCUAGAGAUAGAGCCUUCCCCUUCGGGGGACAAAGUGACAGGUGGUGCAUGGUUGUCGUCAGCUCGUGUCGUGAGAUGUUGGGUUAAGUCCCGCAACGAGCGCAACCCUUAAGCUUAGUUGCCAUCAUUAAGUUGGGCACUCUAAGUUGACUGCCGGUGACAAACCGGAGGAAGGUGGGGAUGACGUCAAAUCAUCAUGCCCCUUAUGAUUUGGGCUACACACGUGCUACAAUGGACAAUACAAAGGGCAGCGAAACCGCGAGGUCAAGCAAAUCCCAUAAAGUUGUUCUCAGUUCGGAUUGUAGUCUGCAACUCGACUACAUGAAGCUGGAAUCGCUAGUAAUCGUAGAUCAGCAUGCUACGGUGAAUACGUUCCCGGGUCU